UUGACAGCGCAACCAACCCGCUACUCAUUUUUUUCUCCGCGCCGCGUCGCCUUCUCGCCGUACGGGGUCGCAUGGAAACGACGAGGAGGGGAGGUUGGCUUCCUUCCUCUGGUCCCUCUCCAGUCCAGUCCCCGUGAUCCGACCUUUCCUGUGAAGAGGAAGAAGAGCCGCUUGAGAUGGCGCCAAGGGACUCCGCGUCUGCUUUUGGCGGGACCAAUGCGGGCGUAG
rnacentral:misc_RNA from 1 species